CAGAAGCUCUCAAGCGAGCCCUGAAAUCAGAGGGCAACGAUCUUUCCGGGGCGGAGAGUGCAAGGAUUCGAUAGACAAAUUGACUAUCUUACCCUUUAAACGAAGUGAGCAAGUAUCUUAUAAACCAUUACCUUCUUUUUUCCUACUCUCCUCACUCCACUCUCCUCUGCACCUAAAAACCUAAUAAUUCAGAUUUAGGUAUAAACCUACCACCAAUGGCUCCUUCUUUUGUAAUCAACGGCGGUGUACCCACCGUCAAAUCCUCUUCGGCCACUGGCCGUGUCUCUACUUUUUACAGUGAUGUGCAAACGAGUCGCAUCGACCAUGCUCUUCCUCUCCCUUCUGUCCUCAAAAACCCCUUCAAAGUCGUCGAAGGCCCCCCGAGUUCCGCCGCUGGCAAUCCAGAUGAGAUCGCGAAGCUAUUUCCAAAUCUAUUUGGACAGCCGUCGUCAAUGUUGGUGCCAAAUGGGGCUGAUGCAGUGCUUUCCGAUCAGAAGCUCAAGAUUGGUGUUGUUUUGUCUGGAGGUCAGGCACCUGGGGGACACAAUGUGAUCUGUGGAAUUUUUGAUUACUUGCAGGACCGUGCUAAGGAAAGCAUAUUAUACGGCUUUAGAGGUGGUCCUGCUGGGAUCAUGAAGUGCAAAUAUGUAGAAUUAACGGCUGAUUUUAUUUAUCCCUAUAGAAAUCAGGGUGGUUUUGAUAUGAUCUGCAGUGGUAGGGACAAAAUUGAAACACCCGAGCAGUUCAAACAAGCUGAAGAGACGGCAUUGAAACUUGAUUUGGAUGGGCUUGUUGUUAUUGGUGGGGAUGACUCAAACACCAAUGCUUGCCUUCUUGCUGAAAACUUCAGGAGUAAAAAUAUGAAAACUACGGUCAUUGGAUGCCCAAAGACCAUUGAUGGUGAUCUGAAAUGCAAAGAGGUCCCAACCAGUUUUGGAUUUGAUACUGCAUGCAAGAUAUAUUCAGAAAUGAUUGGAAAUGUCAUGAUUGAUGCUCGAUCAACUGGAAAAUAUUAUCACUUUGUACGGCUUAUGGGGCGUGCAGCUUCACAUAUUACCUUAGAGUGUGCUUUGCAAACUCAUCCAAAUAUUACAAUCAUUGGAGAAGAGGUUGCUGCAAAGAAGCUGACACUGAAAAAUGUUACUGAAUAUGUUGUAGAUAUAAUCUGUAAACGGUCUGAUGUGGGUUAUAACUAUGGUGUGAUCCUCAUUCCUGAAGGUUUAAUUGAUUUCAUUCCUGAGGUGCAGCAUCUCAUUGCAGAACUAAAUGAAAUUUUGGCCCAUGACGUUGUUGACGAAGGUGGGCUAUGGAAAAAGAAACUUACAAGUCAAUCUCUGCAGCUUUUUGAAUUUUUGCCACAAGCAAUUCAGGAACAAUUGAUGCUGGAAAGAGAUCCACAUGGAAAUGUCCAGGUUGCCAAAAUAGAGACAGAGAAAAUGCUUAUUCAAAUGGUUGAAACCGAGUUGGAGAAGAGAAAGCAACAAGGCUCAUACAAAGGCCAAUUCAAAGGACAGUCCCACUUCUUUGGUUAUGAAGGAAGAUGUGGUUUGCCAACAAACUUUGAUGCUACAUAUUGCUAUGCUUUGGGCUUUGGAGCUGGCGCUCUCCUUCACAGUGGAAAAACUGGGUUGAUAUCAUCAGUUGGAAAUUUGGCUGCACCUGUGGCGGAAUGGACCGUUGGUGGCACUGCACUGACUUCUAUGAUGGACGUGGAGAGGAGACACGUGCACGUAAAUUCAAGCCUGUGAUUAAGAAGGCAAUGGUGGAGCUUGAAGGUGCACCAUUCAAAAACUUUGCUUCCAUGCGGGAUGAGUGGGCACUCAAGAAUCGAUACAUCAGUCCUGGUCCUAUCCAAUUUAUGGGCCCAGGAUCUGAUGCCGUUAGCCACACCUUGUUGUUGGAAUUGGGAGUUCAUGCCUAGGCGUAGUGAUGGAAUUUUGGCAUGCUCUUCCAGUGCAUAUCUUCUUUUUGUUGCUUUUUCUUUCCCCCUCUUUUCCUUUCCUCAUUUCCGGUUAUUAUUGCUGCUUCUGAGUGUAGGAUUCUAGCAUUUGCAUUUCAUUUUUAUUUAGCUCUACAUCCAACAGUGGACGUUGUAUAUUGAAGUUUCUAAUCCAAGUCCUUUGUAUUAAUAAGUACAAAAAUGCAACUACAAUCUAUAGACCAUUUUCUUUGUUGAAA